rnacentral:lncRNA from 1 species
UUUGAAACCCAAUGGGUCACAUACAAUAAAAAUUUGGUCUUGAUCCAAUUAAUUUGAAUUUAUUAUAAAUUCAAUGGGUUAAUUGAAUUGCUGGCACAUGAAUUAACCUAAGUUCUCAAUUGAAUUCAGUGCAAAGGUGUUUGUGCUAACAUACUCUUGUUGUCUUGACCCAAUGUGAUUGAGUUUGAACUAUUUAAUUAAUUAAUUGAUUUUAUCUAAUUUUGUGAAAGUGUUCCACGUGGAACCAACCUCCUCCAUGCCAAAAACCAUGCCUAAAUAAAUUUUACACGCCCCAUUUAUUUUGGUAUUAAGAAGGAAGAGUCCUUAACGUGAUAUCUUAACUUUCUUACAUCCCUUUAUGUUUGCACCAUC